UACGGAGGGUGCAAGCGUUAUCCGGAUUUACUGGGUUUAAAGGGUGCGCAGGCGGAUAUGUAAGUCAGUGGUGAAAUCUUCCCGCUUAACGGGAAACUGCCGUUGAUACUAUAUAUCUUGAAUGCUGUGGAGGUAAGCAGAAUAUGUCAUGUAGCGGUGAAAUGCUUAGAGAUGACUAGAAUACCGAUUGCGAAAGGCAGCUUACUACACAGAUAUUGACGCUCAUGCACGAAGGCGUGGGGAUCAAAACAGGG
rnacentral:rRNA from 1 species